rnacentral:rRNA from 1 species
ACGUACGCUGGCGGCACGCCUAACACAUGCAAGUCGAACGAAGUAGCAAUACUUAGUGGCAGACGGGUGAGUAACAUGUAGGUAUCUGCCCUUUGGCCUGGAAUAACACGAGGAAACUUGUGCUAAUACCGGAUAAGUCUUUACGGAGAAAGCUUUAUGCACCAUUGGAUGAGCCUGCACUUGAUUAGUUUGUUGGUGGGGUAAUGGCCUACCAAGACUGUGAUCAAUAGCUGAUUUGAGAGGAUGAUCAGCCACAUUGGGACUGAGACACGGCCCAAACUCCUACGGGAGGCAGCAGUGGGGAAUCUUGCACAAUGGAGGAAACUCUGAUGCAGCGAUGCCGCGUGAGUGAAGAAGGCCUUUGGGUUGUAAAGCUCUUUCGUCGGGGAAGAAAAUGACUGUACCCGAAUAAGAAGGUCCGGCUAACUUCGUGCCAGCAGCCGCGGUAAUACGAAGGGACCUAGCGUAGUUCGGAAUUACUGGGCUUAAAGAGUUCGUAGGUGGUUGAAAAAGUUGGUGGUGAAAUCCCAGAGCUUAACUCUGGAACUGCCAUCAAAACUUUUCAGCUAGAGUAUGAUAGAGGAAAGCAGAAUUUCUAGUGUAGAGGUGAAAUUCGUAGAUAUUAGAAAGAAUACCAAUUGCGAAGGCAGCUUUCUGGAUCAUUACUGACACUGAGGAACGAAAGCAUGGGUAGCGAAGAGGAUUAGAUACCCUCGUAGUCCAUGCCGUAAACGAUGUGUGUUAGACGUUGGAAAUUUAUUUUCAGUGUCGCAGCGAAAGCGAUAAACACACCGCCUGGGGAGUACGACCGCAAGGUUAAAACUCAAAUGAAUUGACGGGGACCCGCACAAGUAGUGGAGCAUGUGGUUUAAUUCGAAGAUACGCGCAGAACCUUACCAACACUUGACAUGUUCGUCGCGACUCUAAGAGAUUAGAGUUUUCGGUUCGGCCGGACGAAACACAGGUGCUGCAUGGCUGUCGUCAGCUCGUGUCGUGAGAUGUUGGGUUAAGUCCCGCAACGAGCGCAACCCUCACUUUUAGUUGCCAUCAUUAAGUUGGGCACUCUGAAAGAACUGCCAGUGAUAAGCUGGAGGAAGGUGGGGAUGACGUCAAGUCCUCAUGGCCCUUACGUGUUGGGCUACACACGUGCUACAAUGGUAUCUACAACAGGAAGCAAGACUGCGAAGUUAAGCAAAUCCCUAAAAGAUACCUCAGUUCGGAUUGCACUCUGCAACUCGAGUGCAUGAAGCUGGAAUUACUAGUAAUCGUGGAUCAGCGUGCCACGGUGAAUGCGUUCCCGGGUCUUGUACUCACCGCCCGUCAAGGG